rnacentral:lncRNA from 1 species
AUGGAGGAUUUAAAAAAUAUCGACNCCCCCCCCCCCCCCCGCCUCCCUCCCUCCCUCCUCCCUUCUUCCUUCUAUUCGAAUGUGUGGAAGGAAAUGGCAGCCAGUCUGGGAGUACAGGCAUCAAAUGAAACAGAGUUGACGGAGAACUUUGAAAAGGCUAGUGGGUCAAAUAGUCUGAAGACAAACACAAACUGCGAAGUUCAACGCCCUGGCACGAAAUUCAGUGUACUGCUCAUGCCACGCAAGUCACAGGACUUUCUGCAGGGGAGGAAGAAAAGGUUUAUCUGUUUGCCAUGGAAAGAGUCCUGGAUCUGGAGUCAGCAGAUCAAGGCAUGAGCGACUAGAGAGGAAGCUUCCGCAUCAUGAGCCAGCACGGCGCCAGGACGUGGAGCCUUGGGGUGUUCCUUCUUCUAGAACCCUCGUCCCUGGUGAGGACCACACUCAGGAGGACGCUUCUGCAGAGGACAGAGAAAGCCAGCUGGCCCCCUCUGGAAGGGUUGUCUAUCUGCAGCUCCGACACUCUAGAAGAACUAAGGCCAUUUUCUUUCGCAAACUCACAGAAACCCAGAGAAGCAACUGCAUUGGGUCUGGAGGGGAUCAAAGGAGGCAGAAGGUUUAUGUCCGUGUCUCAGAAUGACCUGUGAUGGAAUUUACAUUUAUUGCUUUAAAAUGAAAUCCGCAAAGUGCAUGAAGUGUGUGCUCAGGUGGCUUCCAUGUUGCCUGGGAAUCCGGUUUAUACGUCCCUCUGCCAGGCCCUCCAGCCCUCCUGUCCUGGCCUGAGGAGUCUACCAGGACAGACUUCCCGCCUUAGGGACUUAGCAUUAACCCCUCUUUUUGUCGCCGAGGCUAUUCAGGUUUGGCCAGUAUUGGAAGACUUGCCAGAGGCCAGACCUGGUAUUGAAUCUGAUCCAUGAGGCUUUUGUUUACCAACCCAAGGCUUUUCCAUAAACAGCAAGUGGGAUGGGCUGAGGAGAACGGAGAGCUUGGAUUAAGGGAUGGUGGCAACCACCCGGGUUACAGGGCUGCAGGCUCAGGGGACAAGCAUUCGACCUUGGUCCCUAAACACCCAUGUGCCUCGAAGGCUCGGAGAAACCUCUUGCUUUCCAGAUGAGCCAGCUUUCCCAUCGGGAAAGUAAUAGUUUAGAUGAUAUUACAGUCUGAGUUGUGUCUCUCAAAUUUCUAGGUUGACGUCCUUCCUGGCUCUCAGGGUCUCAAAAUGUGACUGUAUUGCGAGAUAGAAUUUUUUUUUUUUUUGGUCUUUUUAGGACCGCAUCUGCAGCAUAUGGAGGUUCUCAGGCUGGGGGUCCAAUCAGAGCUGCAGUUGCUGGCCUACACCACAGCCACAGCAACGUGGGAUCCAAGCUGUGUCUGUGACCUACACCACAGCUCACAGCAAUGCCAGAUCUUUACCUCACCCAUUGAAGCCAGGGGUCGAAUCCCCGUCCACACGGAUAAUAAUUGGGUUUGUUACCACUGAGCCACGACGGAAACUCCGGAGGUAGAAUCUUUAAAAAGCUGACUGAGGUCCAGUGAGGUCACAUGGGGUCCUUAUAAGAGGAGGUCAGGGGACAGACCCACAGAGCAGCGGCGACCACAUGAGGGCCCAGCGAGAAGGCGGCCGUCUGCAAGCCCAGGAGAGAGCCCUCAGCAGAAACCAACCCUGCCGACACUUUGAUCUUGGACUUCCAGCCUCCAGAACUGGGAGAAGAUCCAUUUCAGUUGUUUAAGUGGCAUUUCGUUGUGGUGGCCUGGCACACCGAAAACACCAGUGCAGAGAAACGUCACUUAUUGCUGCUGGUUACUGUGGACCCAGGAACUGUCUGCUGGCUGUGCUGGCUGGGAGCUGGGCAAAUGCAGCUGUGUCUUGAGCCGUGUCUGGAGCCCGAGGUCUCGGACCUGGCACUUACUGGUUCAGGGGACACACUCUCUUGCCGUCUUUCCUCACAACCACGUUGCCCUCUGGGAUGCCCCUGGGGGAGAGUGUGUGCUGGUGGCUUUCUCUGCCCCAGACACUCCAUGUUCUUGGCAGAUUUUGUCCAAUGAGCAGGUAAAUGCCACAGGAAGGAAAGUGCAGUGAUUUAUUAAGCGGUGUUGAAAGAGCCAGAGAAAAAAUGGAAACCCUCUUACCAUGGCGAUGGGAGUGCAACAAGCUUACUCCCGGCUUCCUACGGUGGCUGGGGCUGGAGGGAGCCUGAGCCAUCAUCUGGUCCAGACUGUGCAUUUCACAGCUGGGAAUCUCGCCCCCAGAGAAAACGAGGCUCCCCCUGGAUGGGGCUCUGGACCCCCCAGAUCCUGAGCAUCACUCAGGAGGUUUUUCUGGAUGGCACUUGCUUGGAGAACCAGAGACAAAAAAAAGAGGUUCUCUUUGGAUUCAGACAUGCCUAAGGCAGAGAAAACAACACAUGUCCACCCCAAGGGUCUCCGAACAUACUGGCUUGUUUAAGUUCAUUCUUCCCCAUGUGGCGGAGAUAUUAGAAACAGUUAAAUGUUAUCAUCCGCCCAUUGUGUGAGAUGAACUGUGAAGGUCAGAAAAAACACAACGCUACACGC